rnacentral:rRNA from 1 species
GGGGGAUAACGCAGCGAAAGCUGCGCUAAUACCGCAUACAAUCUAUGGAUGAAAGCGGGGGACCGUAAGGCCUUGCGCGAAUGGAGCGGCCGAUGGCAGAUUAGGUAGUUGGUGGGGUAAAGGCUCACCAAGCCGACGAUCUGUAGCUGGUCUGAGAGGACGACCAGCCACACUGGGACUGAGACACGGCCCAGACUCCUACGGGAGGCAGCAGUGGGGAAUUUUGGACAAUGGGCGCAAGCCUGAUCCAGCAAUGCCGCGUGCAAGAUGAAGGCCUUCGGGUUGUAAACUGCUUUUGUACGGAACGAAAAAGCUCUGGUUAAUACCUGGGGCUCAUGACGGUACCGUAAGAAUAAGCACCGGCUAACUACGUGCCAGCAGCCGCGGUAAUACGUAGGGUGCGAGCGUUAAUCGGAAUUAUUGGGCGUAAAGCGUGCGCAGGCGGUGAUGUAAGACAGUUGUGAAAUCCCCGGGCUCAACCUGGGAACUGCAUCUGUGACUGCAUCGCUGGAGUGCGGC